UACGGAGGGGCUAGCGUUGUUCGGAAUUACUGGGCGUAAAGCGUGCGCAGGCGGUUUUGUAAGCCAGAUGUGAAAUCCCCGGGCUUAACCUGGGAAUGGCAUUUGGGACUGCAAGGCUUGAGUGCGGCAGAGGAGACUGGAAUUCCUGGUGUAGCAGUGAAAUGCGUAGAUAUCAGGAGGAACACCGAUGGCGAAGGCAGGUCUCUGGGCCUUACCUGACGCUGAGGAGCGAAAGCGUGGGGAGCGAACAGG
rnacentral:rRNA from 1 species